CCUACGGGAGGCAGCAGUGGGGAAUAUUGCACAAUGGGCGAAAGCCUGAUGCAGCAACGCCGCGUGAAGGAAGAAGGCCUUCGGGUCGGAAACUUCUGUUCUUGGGGAAGAAGAACUGACGGUACCCAAGGAGGAAGCCCCGGCUAACUACGUGCCAGCAGCCGCGGUAAUACGUAGGGGGCAAGCGUUACCCGGAAUUAUUGGGGGUAAAGAGUACGUAGGGGGGAACCUAAGUGCAGGGUUUAAGCUAAUGGCUCAACCAGUGUUCGCUCUGCGAACUGGGAUUCGUGAGUGCAGGAGAGGCAAGCGGAAUUCCUAGUGUAGCGGUGAAAUGCGUAGAUAUUAGGAGGAACACCAGUGGCGAAGGCGGCUUUCUGGACUGUAACUGACACUGAGGUACGAAAGCGUGGGGAGCAAACAGGAUUAGAUACCCUUGUAGUC
rnacentral:rRNA from 1 species